AAAGCUUUGAGUGCUUUGGAGGAAUUAGGGAAUCCGGGAGGGGUGCACCCAGGAUACAGUUGGCUUUCUGUGCUGUGAGGGCACAGUGCUGGCUCAUGCCCAGCUGCCACCCACCAGCACCCCCAGACCCUUUUUGGCAGGGCUGUGCUCCAUCCUUACACCCCCAGCUUGUACUGACACUGCGGGUUACCAUGACCCUUGCACUUGGCUUUGUUGAACCUCACGAGGUUCUCCUCACUGCGCUGCCUGUCUGUGUCUCUCUGGAUGGCAUCCAGAAUUUGCCAUGGCUGCUGCAGCCCUGCUGGACGAAGGGCUGAUGUGGGUCUGACAACCGGCAGCCACCGAUGGGCUGUGGCUGGCAAUGAGGGGCAUCAACUGCAACCUGAUGGCACUGAGGAGCCCUGGAGCUGCUGGGAGUUGUGCCAUGCUCCCAGACCCCCCAGCCCUAUGUGCAGAGGAAGGCAAUGGGAGCUGACGUGGGACCUGGCAGCUGCCACGUGAAGUGUACUGAAGCUGUGGGGUGGAGAAAUGGAAGGCGUGGGGUUGGAUCCCGCAUCUCCAGCCAACCGUGUUGCCUGGCAAGCAGCACAGAAAGCGAAUAACACUUAAACCCGUGCAGGCCUGGGGUGACAGCAGUGCUCCGACAUCUCCUCCACCCAUUUUUCAAGACAAACUUUCCUCCGUGAUCCACACGCAGCUUUAUUGAGCUCUAUUUCCUCCAGUCUAACUACAGAAAGAAAUUGGCAGCAAGCGCUCUCGCGGGCAGCGUGGAACGGCAGCGGCGGCUGUCAGGGCUCCGGGGGCUUUAUUGCCCUGCCAAACACCUACAUCAUGGUGACACUUACAUAAUUACAUAUCGGACCGGCGAGGAUGAAGCGCCCGGCACCUCCUAAACGUGUCAACAUGAUUUGAGAGGUUUGGGUUUGGCUGGACUUCGUAGGCAUUAGAUUUCAGACUCCAAUCACACGGGCAUCCGGAGGAUCAAUAGCUGAGCACUGCGUGGCAGCUGGCUGCAAGAUGAUGACAACCAGCCCUGACUUUGCCAUCGUGGGUCUCCUCCUUGCUGCCUCCAAAGGACCGUGGUCCCUUUUUCCAUUAGGAAAGCAGCGUGUGCACACAGGUGACCCAGCUCUGCCCUGGCCACAUCUCACCCAGCUCCUUCAAAUUAAUUUCCCUGAUGGAGAAGCUCAGCAUCCCGCUGUCGUGCCUUCCAAUUCACACUCAGAUCAGCGCAGUGCUGGACCCACUUUGCAGCGAGCUUUGCAGCACCCGCCUGCAUUACCCAGCGCAACUUAAGGGGAAAACACCUGCAAACAAAUUGAACGUUCCUAAGUGCAAAUUGGUUUUACAAUUGCUCGAGAUUUAAAGUGCCACUGCAGCAAAAUGAUGUUAUUUUGGGGGGGGGCAGAUGUCUUUGGAAUACAGGUUGGUUGGAUUUGUCCUGUUGGAAGGGUUGGGUUCAGCCCAGCUCUUGGUGGGUUGGGUCCAUUGGGAUGCGCUGGGCUGCGGCACAUGGGCUGACCCCAGAACUGUCCCCAGUGGAGAUAAUCUGAUGGGUAGCGACGCUGCAGCGCUGUGCGAGGCUCUGUGCAGAGUUCAGCACUGCUCCAAACUUCCCCUUCUCCUCUGCGUGCUCUCUGCAGUCUUCAUUUCCACUAAAUCACCUCAAUUGGUUUCGCUCAGCGGUUGGAAAGCCAUGCUUGGAAUAUAAUGGUUGAUCUUUUAUGACAUUUACCGCCACUCAUGUCAGCGCGCGCGCCUGGUUAAUUCACUUGUUGCUAUGCCAUCCAUCAAUCACCAUAAAUGUUAUAACAGCAAUCUGUCACCGGGGGGGCACGCGUGGGGAGGUGUGCGAGGCGCAUUGGAUGGGGCUUGGGAAAUGAGUGACCCCUCCAUGUACUGGGGGGGAGUUGCCUGGAUCUGAGCAGUGCUGUGUGCUGUCCGUCCCAGUGCUGGGGCACGGGGUUUGUGCAGCAGCACGGUGCUCUCGCAUAUCGUUCUGCUGCUUGUCCCCUCACCCAGCAAGCUGUCCCCCUUCUUUUGGGGCGAGAGAGGCUUUGCGUGAGAUUUCAGACAGUGAAAACGUGGCUUAGUGGCAGUUUGCAUUCCCAACAGCCGGUGUAACAGCAGCCAUCAACAGCUAUGAGCCCGGCAGCAAAGCAGAUGAAGACAAAGUAGCCUCAGGUCUCACUUGUUGCCCUUUGCAAGUAAUUAUAUUAAUACACCUGUGAGCUCAUGUAAUAACAGAGAUGAGAUCUCCGCGACGCCCUGUUUGGGUGAAGGCAGGCUUGCGGGAGGUGUCUGAGAUUGCUUUCCCUGUGAAGAAACAGCAUUUUGAUUGAUCUCUCGGCAAAGAUAUGAAAACGCUCCGACUCGGUGCCACAUUUCCUUUUCGCUGUGACAUUUUGCAGGAGGGAACGAAUGGCACGCAGCCGUUCCCACGGUCCGGGUGACAUUACCAACAGCUCAGCAUCUCCUGCAGCACCAGCCGUGCUGGAGGGCUGACCCCCAAUGGAUGCUGGUGCUGAGCUAUGUGGGGCAGGGAUGGUCCUGGCUGUGGGUGAUGGCAGGUGAGCUGCUGGAGAUGGGUCAAGGCAUGCGUCAGAGCACAGCAUGGCAGUACCCCCCUGCAUCUGCUCCUCGUGACUUCAACACGGAAAGUGUUUUAGAUGCUCCUUUCCCUCCCUGCAUGGAGUUGAUGGCAACUCUAGUUAAAAGCUGAGAUGCUCAUGAAACACUUAUCGCCCCAAAGCUGUGUCUGCACUGCUCUCUGUUGCAGGUGAGGGGAUGGGAUCUCUUUGGGUCCUGUACUUUGGGAACCAGCAGGCAUUCUCCUUCCUCCACCAACCCCUGUGUGUGUGACUUAUUGGCCUCAAUGGAUCCCAGUUUCCAUGUCCGUAAAAUGGCGUGACAUUUUCCUCCCAUGUGCUGAGGCUUUGCUUGCUCCUCUGGCCCCGCUUGGCUUUUAUUCUCCUCCCUGUAGAAGUGCUCAGAGGUGCUGGCCCACAUCAGGAGCUAAUGGGCAGCAUGCUCAGUGAGCAGGAACAGGGCUCUUCCUAUUAAACCACGAGCACGCAGGCAGCUCUCCAUUCCCCCGUUCCUCCCCCAUAAUCCCUCCUCCUCGCUUCCCUCUCCACCAUCCCCGGCGAUGCUCAGCUCCAAACACCGUUGCAGCUGUGAGCAAAAGAAGCAGCAGUGCUGGGAACAGACCCUGCAAGAACUCAGCCCCAUGUUCCCUCUCUGCACCCCAACACUGCCCUUGCAAGCCGGGCAGCUGGGAGCUGAGCAUUGCCCUGGGAGGUGCUGGUUGGGCCCUACGUGCAGACGUGCAGCUUUGGGGCAGGACCAGGUGCUUUGUGCACUGCGGGUGUUCAAAGCAAAUCUGCAGCGCUCACAUCUGAGCAAUGGUCACCCGGUGAGAGAGAGGUGGUGGUGGUGGGCUCCAAUCUGGGGGCUCCAGUUCGGAGCUGGUUGCUGAAAGCCUUGAGCGUGAGGAUUUGUAGCAGAAAGGCUGCUGGAGCAGGAGCCUAGAGCAGGGUGAAUGGAGCUGCUCUAAUGGAUAUUAAGUGAUUUGCGAGCCUGCUGCUUGCAAACACAGCUGUAAAUAGAACAAAGGGAGGGGGUAGCAGAUGAAAGAGGCUCAGGCUCUUUAGCGGAGCAGUGUGAAAAAUGGGGAAAGGUUCCUGUGCAGGGCUCGGGCAGCGAGAGAAACAAAAGCCCCGGCAUCUAUUUUCAUAUCUUUUAUGUCUUCCUUGCACUUAAUCUUGUUUAGCUCUGCAAUUAAAUUUUAAGACGCAUAAGAGUGUUCGCUUACACACUUGGAUUCUUCGCAGAUUGAAUUAUUUAAUAGAGUGUGGAGCGGCUCCAUGAUCUCGGAGCUAUGGCACCAAAGGCAGCCAAGCAGAAAAUUAAUAAACACUGCCUGCCGUCUCCGCGCCUCCCGCGCUCCCCUCUGCAUCCUCCCUCUCCCUCUCCUGCUGCAGCCACCCCUCUGCUCCCAUCCCUUUCUGUUGGGGUUUCCUCUUUCCAUCCCACUGCCGUCUCCUCCCUCAGUUUUGCCACCUGCCCUUUCGCUGCUGUGGGAUCGAUGCUCUGUGCAUCUCAUCCUUGCAGCUCAAUGCCUGUGCACGUGUUCACUGUGAUUCGGGUCAUGCUGGGGAACACCCCAUGCCAGCAGUGGGGUUGGGUGGGAUCGGGCUGUGCCACUCUGUAAUUGCAUUCCUUGGCCCAGAAUAAAUCUCAUCUCAAAUGCUGCUGGAAUUCUCUCUCUCCUCCUUCAUUCUCCAGCCACCAAAGUUGAUCUUCUCUCCCCUCCUUUUUUUUUUCUUUUUUUUUUUUCCAGUAACCUUUCCAGGCAACAAAUUGCAGGGGGCAAUUACGCUGUUUGCUAAAGAGAGCAUUAAGCCAGCCACAAUUUCCAUAGAGGAUAUUGUGCAGCAAACUGAUACAAAAGCAGUCUAUGAAAU
ensembl:lncRNA